rnacentral:rRNA from 2 species
UGGGGAAUAUUGCACAAUGGGGGAAACCCUGAUGCAGCGACGCCGCGUGAAGGAAGAAGUAUCUCGGUAUGUAAACUUCUAUCAGCAGGGAAGAUAGUGACGGUACCUGACUAAGAAGCCCCGGCUAACUACGUGCCAGCAGCCGCGGUAAUACGUAGGGGGCAAGCGUUAUCCGGAUUUACUGGGUGUAAAGGGAGCGUAGACGGACUGGCAAGUCUGAUGUGAAAGGCGGGGGCUCAACCCCUGGACUGCAUUGGAAACUGUUAGUCUUGAGUGCCGGAGAGGUAAGCGGAAUUCCUAGUGUAGCGGUGAAAUGCGUAGAUAUUAGGAGGAACACCAGUGGCGAAGGCGGCUUACUGGACGGUAACUGACGUUGAGGCUCGAAAGCGUGGGGAGCAAACAGG